rnacentral:rRNA from 1 species
GGGUGCGAUCAUACCAACAAUAAUGCACCGGAUCCCAUCAGAACUCCGCAGUUAAGCGUGCUUGGGCGAGAGUAGUACUAGGAUGGGUGACCUCCUGGGAAGUCCUCGUGUUGCACCUC